rnacentral:lncRNA from 1 species
CCUUAAUUUACUUUGUUUGCUAAAAUAAUAAAUUAGCAGAAUUCGAAAAAUUCUCCAAGUCAUUUUUAUUUUAUGUUCAGCUAUUUCGGCCCAUAUUUUGAAAUUCACCUUGAAUUUCAGACAAUUCUUGGUCUAAAAAAAAUCAAACCUUGUUUGCAAAAAAAUUGUUUUCAUAUAUUUCACAUAGCCCCAUCAAUGUAUCUGUCUUCCUAUUGUUUGUUAGGUAAUUUUUGGUAGUGACCUUUCUUGUUAUAUCCUUAUAGAUGCCAUUUUAGCAUCUCACUCUGCUUUGGCUGGCAAAGAUUACUGUUUUUAUGACCGUGUUAAUGCUUUGCCAGAUAUAUCUUCGUUUGGGUAAGUGAAUGUUUCCUACUAAAAUCACUUAAAUGGCAAUGCAUUGGGAAGGACCAUCAGGGAAGGCUUGACAUUUUUCAUUUAACCCCUUAAGGACCAAACUUCUGGAAUAUAAGGGAAUCAUGACGUGUCACACAUGUCAUGUGUCCUUAAGGGGUUAAACAAAGAUACCUUGCAAGUGACAACAUAAAUAACAAAAGUCAGUAUCACAGUAUCCAUAAGAAUGGCUUAAUAAAUCAAUCCAUGUAAAUAUAAUUUAAUGCACUAUAAUUAUGGAUAUGAUUAGGAACCUACUGCAAUUUACAAUAGGUCUAUAAAUUUAGCAAAGUAUGUCCUGAACCAGUAGUGUGUGAAAUCAUUAUGCAGUAUACAAAUUACCUUUCAGUUUGGUUAUUUAGCACUUAUUCACUGAUGUAUGCAAAGAAAGCAAUCUCUCAAUAUUUCCAAGGUAAAAAUCAGUGUUCAUGAAUACAGAAAUCCACUUAUGCUAAAAGUGACCUUAAAUGAACUCUCCAAGCACCAUAACCACUACAGUGCAUAUCCCCCAACACUGGCAUACAGAUAGGUGGAAUGUCACGAGGUAAAGGAGGAUUGUGUCACUGGCUCUGCUGAAAGGGGGUGGACCCAAAUUAGUGGCACACCAUGCUUCCUGUCAAUCAAGCAGACCAUCCCACUGAGGGCAGGACAAGCUCUUUUUCAGUGCUAGAGCCCUGUGUGUACUGUGAGCGUGUCUAAUGAUGCUUUUGUGCUAAACUUUUUAUGAGGCAGUUCCCUGGUGUCCUCAAAAGUGGGAACAAAGUCAGGAUGGCUGGACAGGACCUGAAAAUCAGGACUGUCCUGCUGAAAUCACAAAGGUUGGGAGGCAUGACAGGGCAAUGUAGUAGUUAAAGUGCCAGAAAUGCUAAUGGUUUGACGUCUGACUUCUUAAUUGGGGCCACACAUGUUAAUUUUCUUUGUUUGGUUUAACAAGAUAAACCACUAUCAUUUGACUUUCAAGAGCAACACCAGGUGAUUCUUGACCUUCAAGCACCCGAAGCAAAGACUUUAUAUCUCAGUUACCAUGUUGUAUUAGGGAGACACUAGUUUAGCAAGACAUAAUGAAACAGAUCUAAAUACUGGUUAAACAGAGAUGCUUGUCCCUCCUUAGGUCUCAAGGUUUACAUUAAAAACACUAUAGCGUUAGGAAUACAAACUGUACUCUUUUUCAGAUCCCCCCCACCGGGUGCAAUUCAAUACCUUUUUGAGACACCAGUGCCCCCUCAACGCUGCUUACCUCUCUCAGCUUCCUAUUCUGCAUGAUACUUAUUCAUUUACAUGUAAGUAAAUUCUUCUUAUUUAUUGGGUGGCCCAAUGAAAUCAAUUUGUGAAGUAGACCAAGGACCUUUUGGAGGUGCUAUACAUUGUAUAGGUGUUUUUUGUCCUUUAGGUCUUUAGGAUUUAUUUGUGCACAUAUCAAACACGAUUGAACUACCUGCCAUACAGUGUUUUCCAUGUUAUCCCAAUAAAACUUAUCUCUGGGUAUCUGGGUAUCUCUAACAGUUUCUGCAGUCCAAUAUGACCUAAACUUUCAUGAUUAUAUUGUGUCAAUAACAUUUUUAGAUGUUCUGGCAUGAUGGGACACAGUUCUCCGUUUUGUUCAUGACACAAAACCCCUGUUUUCAUGAACAAAUGGAGGUUUUGGAUCAACCCGAGAAGCCGUCAAGGGAAGAAUCCUUUGCCUGUUCUUCUGCAAAAGAUGGAGGCUGUGUGUUAGUCUUUCUAACCAUUGCUACUGGCAUAGGCUCUGUCAGCAAGGCCUUUUCACUAGUUAACGCUGCUCUUUUUGCAAAUUUAUUAAGUACAUCUUUACCUUUUUGGUGUAAACAUGGCUCUUGAGACACAAUUUCAAAUAUGGUCUCUAGUGUCUCUUUGUGUGCUAACACUUUUUUUGAGGCAUCUACGAAACCUCUUCUUUUCCAUUUGGCUAAAUGUUCUGUUAGCGAUCUGACCACAUAUGAACUGUCACUACAUAUCACUAGGGGACGCUCUUCUUUUGCCUCAAGUGUUAUUACUGUUUUUAAUGCUUCUAGUUCUGCUCUCUGUGCUGACAAAUGACCUGGUAAUUUAUGUUCUACUGAAUAUCCUCGUUUUGGAUACCAUAUAGCAGUGAUGGCAAAUCUUUUUGAGCCCGAGUGCCCAAACAGCAAUACAUGCCAACUUUUUUUCCCUCAAAG